UGAAUUGAAAGGCAAGAGUUUCUUUGAUUCUUUAGUUGGAGAGUUGAUCACUACGAAGUCCUUUCAUAAAUAUUCCUGACUUUUGCUGGCAGAAUUGUCUCCAGCAUUAGCCACUGAUAAAUUCUUAUGAUACCUUCUGUAUGCUUGUGACUAUUUAAUGAAAUAAUGCUAAUGAUGGACAUGCUAACAGAAACACAUCAGCUAUCCACUGCUUUAUUGGAUUUCUUCAAAGCCAGUACUGGAAAGGACAAGCAUUAAAAUCUGGUGCUUCCUGUGACACAUUACCAGAAGCAAGGUGGCUCCCAGGGCUACGCAAAAAAGAAUGGGUCCAGUGAGGUCCGUUUCAUUCAUAAUGCUGCCAUCUGCUGGCUUCAUUGGGUUUAACACUGUCAAAGUUUUUUGCCAUAUGUAAUCAAAAUGGA
rnacentral:lncRNA from 1 species